rnacentral:rRNA from 1 species
GGCCUGAACAGGAAUAAAAAUGCAAGUCGUAACCAGGUCCGCCAAGCGUUGCUACGUACGUAUCAGACGGGAACGGAGUGCAGUAAGCGCGAGCCCAACUGCCCCAUGCACUUUAGCACAAGCCUGGGAAAUUGGGUCUAAUACUGGAUAUAAACAUUUACUCCUCUGGCGUGUGUUGGAAAGAUUUUUUGGUUGGCGAUGGACUCGCCGCCCUAUCAGCUUGUUGCCGAGGAGGUGGCUAACCAUGGCCACUCGAGUUGGCCGGCUGAGAGCGCGACCGGCCACCCUGCGACUGAGCAUCAAACUCUACUAUACGGGAGGCAGCAGUGGGGAAUAUUGCACAAUGGGCGAAAGCCUGAUGCAGCGACGCCGCGUGAGGGAUGACGGCCUUCGGGUUGUAAACCUCUUUCAGUAAGGAAGAAGCGAAAGUGACGGUACUUGCAGAAGAAGCGCCGGCUAACUACGUGCCAGCAGCCGCGGUAAUACGUAGGGCGCGAGCGUUAUCCGGAAUUAUUGGGCGUAAAGAGCUCGUAGGCGGUUUGUCGCGUCUGCCGUGAAAGUCCGGGGCUUAACUCCGGAUCUGCGGUGGGUACGGGCAGGCUAGAGUGCAGUAGGGGAGACUGGAAUUCCUGGUGUAGCGGUGAAAUGCGCAGAUAUCAGGAGGACACCGAUGGCGAAGCAGGUCUCUGGGCUGUAACUGACGCUGAGGAGCGAAAGAUGGGUAGCGAACAGGAUUAGAUACCCUGGUAGUCCAUGCCGUAAACGUUGGCACUAGGUGUGGGGGACAUUCCACGUUUUCCGCGCCGUAGCUAACGCAUUAAGUGCCCGCCUGGGGAGUACGGCCGCAAGUUUAAACUCAAAGAAUUGACGGGGGCCCGCACAAGCGGCGGAGAUGCGGAUUAAUUCGAUGCACGCGAAGACCUUACCAAGGUUGACAUGGACUAGAUCGCCGCAAAAAUGCGGUUUCCCUUCGGGCUGGUUCCAAGUGGUGCAUGGUUGUCGUCAGCUCGUGUCGUGAGAUGUUGGGUUAAGUCCCGCAACGAGCCCAACCCUCGUUCUAUGUUGCCAGCACGUUAUGGUGGGGACUCAUAGGAAACUGCCGGGUCAACUCGGAGGAAGGUGGGGACGACGUCAAAUCAUCAUGCCCCUAAUGCUUGGGCUUCACGCAUGCUACAAUGGCCGGUACAAAGGGUUGCGAAACUUGUAAGGGGGAGCUAAUCCCAAAAAGCCGGUUUCAGUUCGGAAUGGGGCCCGCAACUCGCCCCCUAGAAGCCGGAGCCCCUAGAAAUCCGCGAAAACGAACCCUUCGGGGAAAACUUUCCCGGGCUUUUUACAACCG